rnacentral:rRNA from 1 species
AGCGAACGCUGGCGGCAGGCUUAACACAUGCAAGUCGAACGCCCCGCAAGGGGAGUGGCAGACGGGUGAGUAACACGUGGGAACGUACCCUUUGGUUCGGAAUAACUUGGGGAAACUCAAGCUAAUACCGGAUAAGCCCUUAUGGGGAAAGGUUUACUGCCGAAGGAUCGGCCCGCGUCUGAUUAGCUAGUUGGUGGGGUAAUGGCUCACCAAGGCGACGAUCAGUAGCUGGUCUGAGAGGAUGAUCAGCCACACUGGGACUGAGACACGGCCCAGACUCCUACGGGAGGCAGCAGUGGGGAAUAUUGGACAAUGGGGGCAACCCUGAUCCAGCCAUGCCGCGUGAGUGAUGAAGGCCUUAGGGUUGUAAAGCUCUUUCACCCGGGACGAUAAUGACUGUACCGGGAGAAUAAGCCCCGGCUAACUUCGUGCCAGCAGCCGCCGCCG